ACGAGUUAGGGUCUUCUAGGCCCGACCUCCCAACCCUUUGUUUACCAAACCUACGUUGCUUCGGCGGACCCGUCUCACGACCGUCGGAGGACCGCCGAAAGGCGUCCUCUGGCCAGCUGUCCGCCGGUGGCCAACCAUUAAAACUCUGAAUGAAUCGUGUCAUAUGUCUAAGUCUAUGAUUAAAUUAAAAGCA
rnacentral:misc_RNA from 1 species